GUGCAGCAUUCUGGGAAGGAUGCAAAUUCGAAUCCUCUUCUGAGUAAUUUAUUGGUCGACUGGGAGAGGAAUCCAGUAGGUGUCGAUGACAACUUCCUGCCAGUUUCUUGCUGGGAUAUCCAACUUCCUGUUUAAUGGUGGUCGGCAAACACAAUGGAGCAAUCGGGGUUGUUGUUCAGCUGUUCUCUCAAAAAUCUUCCACAAAUGACCAUGGCACAUGUUACACGAUCAGUGGAAAGCCGCAUAUCAUCGAAAAAACUUGAAAAGGGGCACAAAUAUUUUCAUAAAAAUUCUUUUCAAAGGUGCAGUGUGCACAUGGUAGUAUGAUGAAAAUGCAGACAGCCCCAUCAAGAGUGCCAUGUGCUGACUCUCUGCAGACCUGACAUCGGCCAAGGACUUGGGUAAUUUGCAUUAGUUUAUGUGAUAUGCAUUUCAUAAUAAAACAUUCUUUUUGUA